rnacentral:rRNA from 1 species
UACGAAGGGGGCUAGCGUUGCUCGGAAUCACUGGGCGUAAAGCGCACGUAGGCGGCUUUCUAAGUCAGGGGUGAAAUCCUGGAGCUCAACUCCAGAACUGCCUUUGAUACUGGAGAGCUAGAGUCCGGAAGAGGUGAGUGGAACUGCGAGUGUAGAGGUGAAAUUCGUAGAUAUUCGCAAGAACACCAGUGGCGAAGGCGGCUCACUGGCCGGUACUGACGCUGAGGUGCGAAAGCGUGGGGAGCAAACAGG